rnacentral:rRNA from 1 species
ACUCCUACGGGAGGCAGCAGUAGGGAAUCUUCCACAAUGGGCGGCAAGCCUGAUGGAGCAACACCGCGUGAGUGAAGAAGGGUUUCGGCUCGUAAAGCUCUGUUGUUAAAGAAGAACACGUAUGAGAGUAACUGUUCAUACGUUGACGGUAUUUAACCAGAAAGUCACGGCUAACUACGUGCCAGCAGCCGCGGUAAUACGUAGGUGGCAAGCGUUAUCCGGAUUUAUUGGGCGUAAAGAGAGUGCAGGCGGUUUUCUAAGUCUGAUGUGAAAGCCUUCGGCUUAACCGGAGAAGUGCAUCGGAAACUGGAUAACUUGAGUGCAGAAGAGGGUAGUGGAACUCCAUGUGUAGCGGUGGAAUGCGUAGAUAUAUGGAAGAACACCAGUGGCGAAGGCGGCUACCUGGUCUGCAACUGACGCUGAGACUCGAAAGCAUGGGUAGCGAACAGGAUUAGAUACCCUGGUAGGAUAGCG